rnacentral:rRNA from 1 species
CGCGUGAGAAUCUGCCUUCAGGUUCGGGACAACCACUGGAAACGGUGGCUAAUACCGAAUGUGCAGAAAUGUGAAAUAUUUAUAGCCUGAAGAUGAGCUCGCGUCUGAUUAGCUAGUAGGUGUGGUAAGAGCGCACCUAGGCGACGAUCAGUAGCUGGUCUGAGAGGAUGAUCAGCCACACUGGGACUGAGACACGGCCCAGACUCCUACGGGAGGCAGCAGUGGGGAAUUUUCCGCAAUGGGCGAAAGCCUGACGGAGCAAUACCGCGUGAGGGAGGAAGGCUCUUGGGUUGUAAACCU